rnacentral:misc_RNA from 1 species
AGGCGCUAGCAGAUCCGUAUUUUCAUGAUCUGGCAAAUAAGGAGCCUGAACCAUCGAGACAACCUAUAUCAAAGCUCGAGUUUCAAUUUGAGAAGAGGAAGUUGACAGAAGACGACGUAAGGGAGUUAAUCUAUAGAGAGAUUUUGGAGUACCAUCCUGAGAUGCUUAAAGAGUACCUUCAGGGAGCAGAUCAGACUCACUUUGUGUAUCCAAGUGGAAUUGACCGAUUUAAGGAACAAUUUGCACAUCUUGAGGAAGGAAAUGGUAUAAGUGAAAGAAGCAGUCCUCUCCACAGGAAGCAUGCCACCUCCCUGCCCAGGGAGCGGAUCUGCACAAUUGAUGAAACUGAUAUUGUUGUAAAGCGUAGUGCAGCAUCUGUUACUCGUGCAACUCUGCAGAGUCCUCCAAAGUCGGAAUCAACUGCAGAAUUGCAAUCUGCAAACAGAAAUGCAGUAGCUAUGCAGACCAGCUCUACCAAACCCAAGUGUAGCGCCCAUAGCCUGUUGAAGAGUGACAGUAUAUGUGCUUCAAGGUGCAUUGGCGUAGUUGGAAAUGAUCGUGAAGUUCAUGCUCUCUGAUUCAUGUAGGGGAUAUUUUCUUUACAUGCAACACCAUGGAGGACCCUUGCAAGAAUGGGUGGUUUACAAUUUAGAAAUUACAUUUAUUCAGCCAACAUACUGGUGGAGAUAAAGACGGUUCCAAUCUGCUGUUUCUCUCCAACAUACUGGUGGAG